UCCUCCCUCUUUCUUCGUGCUUAACACAUGCAAGUCGAACGGAAAGGCCCCUUUGGGGGUCCUCGAGUGGCGAACGGGUGCGUAACACGUGAGUAACCUGCCCUUGACUUCGGGAUAACUUCAGGAAACUGGGGCUAAUACCGGCUAGGAAUCCUUGCUGCAUGGUGGGGGUUGGAAAGCUUCGGCGGUUUUGGAUGGACUCGCGGCUUAUCAGCUUGUUGGUGGGGUAGUGGCUUACCAAGGCUUUGACGGGUAGCCGGCCUGAGAGGGCGACCGGCCACAUUGGGACUGAGAUACGGCCCAGACUCCUACGGGAGGCAGCAGUGGGGAAUAUUGCACAAUGGGCGGAAGCCUGAUGCAGCAACGCCGCGUGCGGGAUGACGGCCUUCGGGUUGUAAACCGCGUUCAGCAGGGGCGAAGCUUGUGGUGACGGUACCUGCAGAAAAAGCACCGGCUAACUACGUG
rnacentral:rRNA from 1 species